UCAGAGGCUCAGGUCAGAGGGCAAAGAUGUCCACUGAAGCGGCUCCAGAAUCCCUCAAGGAAGGUGACAUCCGCUUCGCUUCCUCCUCCAGCCCCACCUUCGCUUCCGGGACCACAGAGCCCCUGGAGCCUGCACGCCACGGAGUCUCCCACUGAGGAGUGAGGAGGCCUCUUGUGGGGACAGAUCUGGAAUGAGUGGCAUCCAAACCUGACUCAUAUUUCCAACUUUAUUAAUUUUUGCAAGACUUCGGAGGGUGCUCUGUGGCGAUUAAUAUUGCUGAGCUGAGCACAGCUGCAGUACUUUCCUGUAAAACUGACUAAAGGAGAAGUUGGUGUCUUCCUCAUACAAGAAAUACAUAAAUCAGUUAAAAAUAGUUCUCCGAGCGGAUAUGAUGAUGUCGUGGCCGUCACAGGAAACACAUGAAUCAGCCUCAUCCUCAGUUCCAGGGAAGUGGGGACAGUCGGUGGUCCUUGGACCCCUCUUGGGGCGCGUGGGUGAGGCAGGGUCCCUCUGGCUUUACCUCAUACCCGGACUGGCAAAGCUGCCUGGGAGGACAACUAAAACCAUGCUCCUUUGAUUCUGUGGACAUUGCUAAUUGCUGGGCGUUCAUUUCUUGAAUUCAGACCUUCUCAUGAACCAGAGGAGCUGGCUCAGAAAAAUGCCGGUGACGCAUGGGCCUGAACUGGUCAGUGCAGCUCAGAGAUGCUCGCCGUGGGGGACGUGCAGUUUGCCUGUGGGCCAGUUGUCCACCCGUCACCGUUACCCCGCUGAGGAAGCUGUGGGUGCCACCCAGAGAGCUUGGGUACAACACGGUCUCUGCUUUACUCAUAAAAAGCCAAGACCUAUGUGGUCAUGGAGCGUUAAAACAGAAAUUUCACACCACGCCGUACGGUCCCCGAGGCCAGGGUGUUGGCACAUUUCACAUCCAGGAGGUGCCGUCGCUGUCACUGGCUCAGCAAAGCCAGUGCCGAAGCCACUGCAACUGCCUGAGGCCCAGCGGUGGCUGGGAGCCAAUUGGUGUCACUCGGUUACCACAGGGAAGGAGACGUGGCUGUAGAGGCUUGUCGC
rnacentral:lncRNA from 1 species